rnacentral:tRNA from 1 species
GGGAUUGUAGCUCAGUUGGUAGAGCAAGAGCCUCUUAAGCUCCUGGUCCGGGGUUCGAAUCCCCGCAAUCCCA